rnacentral:rRNA from 1 species
GAUGAACGCUGGCGGCGUGCCUAAUACAUGCCAGUCGAGCGAACAGACGAGGAGCUUGCUCCUCUGACGUUAGCGGCGGACGGGUGAGUAACACGUGGAUAACCUACCUAUAAGACUGGGAUAACUUCGGGAAACCGGAGAUAAUACCGGAUAAUAUAUUGAACCGCAUGGUUCAAUAGUGAAAGACGGUUUUGCUGUCACUUAUAGAUGGAUCCGCGCCGCAUUAGCUAGUUGGUAAGGUAACGGCUUACCAAGGCAACGAUGCGUAGCCGACCUGAGAGGGUGAUCGGCCACACUGGAACUGAGACACGGUCCAGACUCCUACGGGAGGCAGCAGUAGGGAAUCUUCGGCAAUGGGCGAAAGCCUGACGGAGCAACGCCGCGUGAGUGAUGAAGGUCUUCGGAUCGUAAAACUCUGUUAUUAGGGAAGAACAAAUGUGUAAGUAACUAUGCACGUCUUGACGGUACCUAAUCAGAAAGCCACGGCUAACUACGUG